rnacentral:rRNA from 1 species
ACGAACGCUGGCGGCGUGCUUAACACAUGCAAGUCGAACGGAAAGGCCCUGCUUUUGUGGGGUGCUCGAGUGGCGAACGGGUGAGUAACACGUGAGUCACCUGCCCUUGACUUUGGGAUAACUUCAGGAAACUGGGGCUAAUACCGGAUAGGAGCUACUGCUGCAUGGUGGGGGUUGGAAAGUUUCGGCGGGUGGGGAUUGACUCGCGGCUUAUCAGCUUGUUGGUGGGGUAGUGGCUUACCAAGGCUUUGACGGGUAGCCGGCCUGAGAGGGUGAUCGGCCACAUUGGGACUGAGAUACGGCACAGACUCCUACGGGAGGCAGCGGUGGGGAAUAUUGCACAAUGGGCGGAAGCCUGAUGCAGCAACGCCGCGUGAGGGAUGACGGCCUUCGGGUUGUAAACCGCUUUCGCCUGUGACGAAGCGUGAGUGACGGUAAUGGGUAAAGAAGCACCGGCUAACUACGUG